GACGAACGCUGGCGGCGUGCUUAACACAUGCAAGUCGAACGGAAAGGCCCGGCUUUUGUGGGGUGCUCGAGUGGCGAACGGGUGAGUAACACGUGAGUAACCUGCCCUUGACUUUGGGAUAACUUCAGGAAACUGGGGCUAAUACCGGAUAGGAGCUCCUGCUGCAUGGUGGGGGUUGGAAAGUUUCGGCGGUUGGGGAUGGACUCGCGGCUUAUCAGCUUGUUGGUGGGGUAGUGGCUUACCAAGGCUUUGACGGGUAGCCGGCCUGAGAGGGUGACCGGCCACAUUGGGACUGAGAUACGGCCCAGAAUCCUACGGGCGGCAGCAGUGGGGAAUAUUGCACAAUGGGCGGAAGCCUGAUGCAGCAACGCCGCGUGCGGGAUGACGGCCUUCGGGUUGUAAACCGAUUUCGCCUGUGACGAAGCGUGAGUGACGGUAAUGGGUAAAGAAGCACCGGCUAACUACGUG
rnacentral:rRNA from 1 species